UUUUGAUCUUUGAUUUAGCUGCAAUGAGCUUAUGUUUCUCAAAUGUGACUGACACCCAGAAGGGAGCACUUCCACUCCAUUCACAUCCUGACUGCCCAGUUGUCUCAGUUUUUUAGGUUGCUCCUUAGUCACAGGGAACUCUCCUUGUCGCUUCUUGCUUAUGGUGUCAUCUUUCUCUUCCAAAUGCCAAGUAAGCUUGGAUACAGGAACUACAUGCGUCAAGUCUUCCUCCAGCUUUCUAAGGUUGUGGCAAUAUUUUGAUGGGUCAUACUUCACAAUUUUAUUUUUCUGUUGAUUCCUAAGGUGUAGGAUAGGUAGGACUCUGCCAAAUUUACCCACAAUCCAAUUCUUAUGGUCUGGCACCUCUGUACCUGGUACUGCUCUCAUAUGGAAGUCUGUAACUCCAGCCUUUUUCAGUGAUUCUAGAAGAACUGUUUCAUCAUUUCGCCGUGGCUUUUCUUUCUGCAGCUUUGCUUCCUCUCUUUCCACAGCAAGCCUAUGUAAAAAGCUUUCUUUGGCAAAUUCAAUUUGCAGUGUCUUCC
rnacentral:lncRNA from 1 species